AACGCACAUUGCGCCCUGUGGUAUUCCGCAGGGCAUGCCUGUUCGAGCGUCAUUUCAACCCUCAAGCUCUGCUUGGUGUUGGGCUCUGCCUGUGUGGCCGGCCCUAAAGUCAGUGGCGGUGCCGUGUAGGCUCUAAGCGUAGUACAUCUCUCGCUCUAGGGUCCCGUGGUAGCCUGCCAGAACCCCAACUCUUAUGGUUGACCUCGGAUCAGGUAGGGAUACCCGCUGAACUUAA
rnacentral:misc_RNA from 1 species